rnacentral:ncRNA from 2 species
UACAACGAAAAAAAUAUAGUUCAUAUAAUCGCAGAGAUAAGGUCUGCAAGUUUCUACCGGACUACCGUAAAUGGUCUGACUAUGAGCAAAUGUGUUCCUUAG